rnacentral:rRNA from 1 species
UACGUAGGGGGCAAGCGUUGUUCGGAAUGACUGGGCGUAAAGGGUGCGUAGGCGGUGUAGCAAGUUAGAAGUGAAAUACCUAGAGCCUAACUCAGGUGCUGCUUCUAAAACUGCUAUACUUGAGUGCAGUAGAGGAAAGUGGAAUUCCUAGUGUAGCGGCGGAAUGCGUAGAUAUUAGGAGGAACAUCAGUGGCGAAGGCGACUUUCUGGACUGUAACUGACGCUGAGGCACGAAAGUGUGGGGAGCAAACAGG